UAGCAGCCACAUUUGCACUAGCUUUGACAGGUACCUCAUCAGCUUCCAGUCCUUCAAUCAUCUUCAGAAAUAUUUUCUUUCUGUCCUCAAGCUCAGCCUGCUGUUUAUCAAUGUCCUGACAUUGAACCUUUAACCCAGCAAUAAUCUCCUUUUUGGUCAUAAUACCAGCUCCAGCAGCAAUGUCCCAACAUGAUCAGCAACAUGAUGAUUACCAAACA
rnacentral:lncRNA from 1 species